rnacentral:rRNA from 1 species
AGUGAACGCUGGCGGUAGGCCUAACACAUGCAAGUCGAACGGCAGCACAGUAAGAGCUUGCUCUUACGGGUGGCGAGUGGCGGACGGGUGAGGAAUACAUCGGAAUCUACUUUUUCGUGGGGGAUAACGUAGGGAAACUUACGCUAAUACCGCAUACGACCUACGGGUGAAAGCAGGGGAUCUUCGGACCUUGCGCGAUUGAAUGAGCCGAUGUCGGAUUAGCUAGUUGGCGGGGUAAAGGCCCACCAAGGCGACGAUCCGUAGCUGGUCUGAGAGGAUGAUCAGCCACACUGGAACUGAGACACGGUACAGACUACUACGCGAGGCAGCAGUGGGGAAUAUUGGACAAUGGGCGCAAGCCUGAUCCAGCCAUACCGCGUGGGUGAAGAAGGCCUUCGGGUUGUAAAGCCCUUUUGUUGGGAAAGAAAAGCAGCAGGUUAAUACCCCGCUGUUCUGACGGUACCCAAAGAAUAAGCACCGGCUAACUUCAUG